AGUGUGACAAUGGGUACAUCUAUGAGGCGUGCGGCCCCGUGUGUCAGGAGACCUGCCGCGCCCUGGGGGACACCCCGCCCUGGUACUGUGAGAGGAGCACGUGUGUAGAGGGAUGCUUCUGUCCAGAAGGAUACGUGGACGAUGGUGCUGGGUGUGUGAAAGCCACAGACUGUGAUUGUAUCAUGGAUGAUGUUCUGUAUCCCCCUGGGACUACCAUCACCAAACACUGCCUCAACUGCACUUGCGUGGAUGCUAGGUGGGACUGCUGGGGAGAGUCAUGUGAAGUGCCCACCUGUAAGAUUGGUGAGUUCACCUGUGAGAAUGGACGCUGUCUCCCAUACGGCUGGAUGUGUGACGGACAGGCCGACUGUGAAAAUGGGGAGGAUGAAAAGG